CCCCUAGUAACUGCGAGUGAAGCGGGAAAAGCUCAAAUUUAAAAUCUGGCAGCCUUUGGUUGUCCGAGUUGUAAUCUAGAGAAGCGUUAUCCGCGCUGGACCGUGUACAAGUCUCCUGGAAUGGAGCGUCAUAGAGGGUGAGAAUCCCGUCUUUGACACGGACUGCCAGGGCUUUUGUGAUACGCUCUCAAAGAGUCGAGUUGUUUGGGAAUGCAGCUCAAAAUGGGUGGUAAAUUCCAUCUAAAGCUAAAUAUUGGCGAGAGACCGAUAGCGAACAAGUACCGUGAGGGAAAGAUGAAAAGAACUUUGGAAAGAGAGUUAAACAGUACGUGAAAUUGCUGAAAGGGAAACGCUUGAAGUCAGUCGCGUUGUCCAGGGAUCAACCUUGCUUUUGCUUGGUGCACUUUCUGGUUGACGGGUCAGCAUCAAUUUUGACUAUUGGAAAAARAUUAGGGGAAUGUGACAUCUUCGGAUGUGUUAUAGCCCUUAGUUGCAUACAAUGGUUGGGAUUGAGGAACUCAGCACGCCGCAAGGCCGGGUUUUUAACCACGUACGUGCUUAGGAUGCUGGCAUAAUGGCUUUAAUCGACCCGUCUUGAAACACGGACCAAGGAGUCUAACAUGCCUGCGAGUGUUUGGGUGGAAAACCCGAGCGCGUAAUGAAAGUGAAAGUUGAGAUCCCUGUCGUGGGGAGCAUCGACGCCCGGACCAGACCUUUUGUGACGGUUCCGCGGUAGAGCAUGUAUGUUGGGACCCGAAAGAUGGUGAACUAUGCCUGAAUAGGGUGAAGCCAGAGGAAACUCUGGUGGAGGCUCGUAGCGAUUCUGACGUGCA
rnacentral:rRNA from 1 species